UAGGGAAUCUUCGGCAAUGGGGGGAACCCUGACCGAGCAACGCCGCGUGAGUGAAGAAGGUUUUCGGAUCGUAAAGCUCUGUUGUUAAGGAAGAACGAGUGUGAGAAUGGAAAGUUCAUACUGUGACGGUACUUAACCAGAAAGGGACGGCUAACUACGUGCCAGCAGCCGCGGUAAUACGUAGGUCCCGAGCGUUGUCCGGAUUUAUUGGGCGUAAAGCGAGCGCAGGCGGUUAGAUAAGUCUGAAGUUAAAGGCAGUGGCUCAACCAUUGUAGGCUUUGGAAACUGUUUAACUUGAGUGCAGAAGGGGAGAGUGGAAUUCCAUGUGUAGCGGUGAAAUGCGUAGAUAUAUGGAGGAAUACCGGUGGCGAAAGCGGCUCUCUGGUCUGUAACUGACGCUGAGGCUCGAAAGCGUGGGGAGCGAACAGG
rnacentral:rRNA from 1 species